UCCAGCUCAGUUCGUCGAGCUGCCGGUUGUUAGCCGGUUUGUCGCAGGAUCGAGUCCUGCUCGGGGACCCA
rnacentral:tRNA from 1 species